rnacentral:lncRNA from 1 species
CUCACCCACCACCGCCUUCCCACUUCUGCUCCGUUCCUCCUCCUCAUCCUCAUCAUGUCCCGCAAGAUUACUACACUGCUGCCGGACUUCCGAUGCAGGCUCUUCCUCCUCCUCAUACUCCGCCGACGUCCCACCAUCACCUCCACCACCACCACCACCCCCACCCACAAAUCCAGCUCUACAAGGCUUCGCCGUCGUCGCAGGCACACAGCUCCGGCCAGGAUUCGGACGACAGGGCAGGCGGGGGCAGGUCGGAGAGCAUCGAAGAUGGGAAGUCCGAGAGCGGGAGCUGGAAAGCAGGGGAGAGCGGAGACAAUGCCGUCGGCGAUGGAGGAGAGAGAA